rnacentral:rRNA from 1 species
UGGGGAAUAUUGGACAAUGGGGGGAACCCUGAUCCAGCCAUGCCGCGUGUGUGAAGAAGGCCUUAUGGUUGUAAAGCACUUUAAGCGAGGAGGAGGGUACUGGUAUUAAUACUACCAGGUACUGGACGUUACUCGCAGAAUAAGCACCGGCUAACUCUGUGCCAGCAGCCGCGGUAAUACAGAGGGUGCGUGCGUUAAUCGGAUUUACUGGGCGUAAAGCGUGCGUAGGCGGCUAAUUGAGUCGGAUGUGAAAUCCCCGAGCUUAACUUGGGAAUUGCAUUCGAUACUGGUUAGCUAGAGUGUGGGAGAGGAUGGUAGAAUUCCAGGUGUAGCGGUGAAAUGCGUAGAGAUCUGGAGGAAUACCGAUGGCGAAGGCAGCCAUCUGGCCUAACACUGACGCUGAGGUACGAAAGCAUGGGGAGCAAACAGG